UUCUGCACACGGCACUAUCACACACCAUUCACAUCUAUCAGGAGCUUUUGGGGGGUUUAGUGUCUUGUCCAAGGAUUUUUCGUGAGGCGCAGCGGUUCCAUCGGAUGCCCCUGAUCUAUGCUCUGUGUACCCAGUUAAAGCCAGGUCUGUAUGUCCUGAGCUCCAGCGGUGACGGAAUGAAGAGGAUGACGUGACACCUUCACCACUGGAUCAUACGCAGUCAGGGGACAAAUCGGUGUCCUUAAUGCUUCAUGGAGCAGACUAAUUGUAUUCUGCACAGCCAAGGAUGGACAAGGCUGACCAAACUCAAUUGAUGGAGCGGAAUGCAGUGCAGAGGUGGAGGAGGACGAAGGAGGAAGAGGAGGAGAUCGAGUGCAGUCGGGCAACAAAAGAAAAAAAAGACCAUCCCUUGUUUUUCUUUUUGACUUUGAAACAUUUACAAGCAUGAGUUUCUAAUGUGUCUCCUUUAAAAUGUGACUUGUGCAUUUUUGUUUUCAACGUAAGAGAAGCAAGAGAGACUUAGGUUUAGUAGAUAUCAGCAGAGAGAACUUACAUAUCGCGCCAUUAAAGGAUCAUUUUGCUAAAUAAUUAGGCAAGGUGAAAUUGAUAACAAGCUUGACUUGGUUAA